CGUACUUUGUGAAGCAUAUCUUUUUCAAUAUUUAUCUAGUCUAUUAGUAUUUCGUCAAACUUUUGGGUGUUUAAACGUAUAGGUACUUUAACUGUGUUAAUUGUUAGAUACGUACGUAAAUUUGUAAAUUUAUAGUUAAAUAUAAUUAAUUAUGUUUGCAGAAAAAAAUUUUUCUUGAGGGCUGAGGCCCACAACAUAUGUAUUAUACAAUUUUUUUUCCCAAGUAACACUUUGAGUUUGAAAAGAUCUACCUUCAGGAGCAAUUUUUAAAGAUCGCACUGCGUUAUAUCAUGUCUUAUGCAUACCUAUACUCACACGUUGGUAACACGUCGGUACAACUUUAUCUAUACACGCCAACAUAUUAUAAUAUAUCAACUUGAAUAAGUGUGAAAGUAUCGCCAGUGUCAUAACCGAGAAUUAUUUAUUUGUGUUGUAAAGCCUAUCGAACCUUGAACUUGGCUCAUCUGUUUACGCCAUUGCAUCAUCUUUAUUUUCCUAGGGAUUGUAUGAAUAUCGUGAUAUUGAUAAUCACUCCAUCUACACACAUAGUAGUAUAGACAGUUUAGUACAUACAAAUAAUAUAUAAGGUAUACAUGUCAAUAUAUCAUAUACGUUUAUAUUAGUGGAGGUUAUGUAGCUAAGUACCAAUUUACUAUUAUAUACUACAGUAAUAGGACCGAGUAACGUUACUUUUAUUAUUAUUAUCAUAUUGUAAAAGGACUUCGAUUUAAUGGUUGCACGAUAAUUAUUAUUGAAUACGACCGACAAGAAUUCAUCUAACGCGUUACGCGUUGUUGACGAACCGG